GAACUGCAUCAGAAUUUCUCUGAACGCCGUCCCCUUUAUUGUACUGCAUUAGUGGGAUUUGUGGGGGUGACAACGUGAAGUAGUGCAAGGAUGUGGAAUAAGCCCUGGAUGGCAACGUCAGGAGGGCUGUGGUGCUAAAAUAAAGAGAAAAUACAGCUGUUGGAGGGGUGGGGGUCAGCGCUGUGUGGCAUUGCAAUGGGGAAGAUCUCUUGGGACAGAGAGUAAGGAGGGAACCAACCCCAUGCCGGGGGCAUGGCUGGAGGAAUACAUGGGAAACGUAUUUGACAGGAAGGGGCUGCAGCUCCUUGUUGCCCCUUUGGCUGAUGGAAACAAGCAGGAAAAGCACAAAGUUGGCAUAGAGCUGAGAAAUGGUGAACUGCUCUGUCAUUGUUUGGGUCAUAGAAGAUGAUGGGUGGAAAUCCUGAGUCACCUGGCAACGGUGUGUUGUGAAUGGAGGAGGGGAAGUGCUGACAUGGCUGCAAGCAGGGAAACGUUUGGGAGGAAAGUUUGAGCCAUGAGUUGUGCCAGAGACCUCCCUGCAGCCACCAGGACCACAAUUAUAUGGCAUGGGGAAAGCCUGUCUCAUUACAGCUGGUCAUCAGUGCUGCUCUGACAUGGAAGUGAUGAAGCCGAUAAUUGCUUUGGGCUGCCUGCAGUGCUGCGCUCUCGAGUCACAGGGGAGUUCUCUUCUGGAGUCAAAUGUACUGCUUGGAUAUUGCUGUAGAGCAAAUUACACCGGACUUCUAAGGCCUGUUUGGAAAUGGAUAAAUGCAGAGCAGUCACUCAGCAGUGAUUCAGUGGCGUGCCUAUUGCAGCACUUGGUGUGGCUGGGACCGCUUGUGUUUGCUUCAGCUCCCGCUGCCAUCUCUCAUGAUGUCUUCGCUGUUCCAGUGACCUGGAGGAGAAAUACAAACCACUCUAGGUGUUAUUUCUGCUCAUCUAAUUUACCAGACGUCUGCAACUGAGGGGUUUCCUUAGUCCACAUUAAAACUGUGUUUGUUCUGGGUUCCUGGAUGGUUCCUGAUGAGAAAUCAC